CCUACGGGUGGCAGCAGUGGGGGAUAUUGCACAAUGGGGGAAACCCUGAUGCAGCGACGCCGCGUGUGGGAAGACGGUCCUCUGGAUUGUAAACCACUGUCCCCAGGGACGAAGAUGACGGUACCUGGGGAGGAAGCUUCGGCGAACUACGUGCCAGCAGUCGCGGUAAUACGUAGGGAGCAAGCGUUGUCCGGAAUUACUGGGUGGAAGGGGAGCGUAGGUGGGAUGGCAAGUUGGGUGUUAAAUCUACCGGCUCAACUGGUAGUCGCACUCAAAACUGCUAUUUUUGAGUGAAGUAGAGGCAGGCGGAAUUCCUAGUGUAGCGGUGAAAUGCGUAGAGAUUAGGAGGAACACCAGUGGCGAAGGCGGCCUGCUGGGCUUUUACUGACGCUGAGGCUCGAAAGUGUGGGGAGCAAACAGGAUUAGAUACCCGAGUAGUC
rnacentral:rRNA from 1 species